rnacentral:rRNA from 1 species
UGCGCAGAUAUCAGGAGGAACACCGAUGGCGAAGGCAGGUCUCUGGGCAUUAACUGACGCUGAGGAGCGAAAGCAUGGGGAGCGAACAGGAUUAGAUACCCUGGUAGUCCAUGCCGUAAACGUUGGGCACUAGGUGUGGGGGACAUUCCACGUUUUCCGCGCCGUAGCUAACGCAUUAAGUGCCCCGCCUGGGGAGUACGGCCGCAAGGCUAAAACUCAAAGGAAUUGACGGGGGCCCGCACAAGCGGCGGAGCAUGCGGAUUAAUUCGAUGCAACGCGAAGAACCUUACCAAGGCUUGACAUGUGCCAGACCGCCGUGGAAACACGGUUUCCCCUUUGGGGCUGGUUCACAGGUGGUGCAUGGUUGUCGUCAGCUCGUGUCGUGAGAUGUUGGGUUAAGUCCCGCAACGAGCGCAACCCUCGUUCCAUGUUGCCAGCACGUAGUGGUGGGGACUCAUGGGAGACUGCCGGGGUCAACUCGGAGGAAGGUGGGGACGACGUCAAAUCAUCAUGCCCCUUAUGUCUUGGGCUUCACGCAUGCUACAAUGGCCGGUACAAUGGGUUGCGAUACUGUGAGGUGGAGCUAAUCCCAAAAAGCCGGUCUCAGUUCGGAUUGGGGUCUGCAACUCGACCCCAUGAAGUCGGAGUCGCUAGUAAUCGCAGAUCAGCAACGCUGCGGUGAAUACGUUCCCGGGCCUUGUACACACCGCCCGUCAAGUCACGAAAGUUGGUAACAC